rnacentral:misc_RNA from 1 species
CGACUUGCGAGCGGACCGUGCGCGUGUACAAAAGCUCAGGAAAAGAAACAAAUCCGUGGUAGCGGCAUUGUGUUGUGUCUUGCCGGUGAACAGGCCUGUUUUACUCCCUUUCUCCUGGUGAGCCCGUGCGCCAGGGACUUAAGCCCGCCACGAGUGACUGAUGACGACAGAAAUAACCCUGUUCCAUCUUUCCGGCGGCGCACGUGUCCACGUUCGUGAGCAAACCUACGCAACUACGGCGACCAACACGAAGGAAACAGAAGGAGACGAGCAUCCAUUGGCCAGACCGCGUGAUUUGCAUGCGAGUCCGGAAGACGCGGAGAGGAAGAUGCCGAUGGAUGGCCGAAACACUUGGUGAAGAAAUGGAUCAUGGGAGAUUCUGUUCAAGGAUACGAGAAAGUUCAACAAAGAAAAGAGGAUACUAUCGGACGGCGAAGGUCGCGGAACGGUUAAAAAUAUCAAGAGGACGCUUCACUAUUUUUCAAGAAUACUCCGCCUGUCACACGACUCUGUCGCGCGAUUUAUGGCCCGCUAAACGAGCAAAGCCGAAAGCGAAAAGGAAUCUUCUCAAAUCUCACCAACCUCUCGUUUUCGGACAAUCCUCUUGAACAAAAAAAGGGGAAAGCUCGAGAGAUGGGUCAUCUUCGAAGGGUCUAUCAAGGGGGAAGCCAGAUUUUCGUGUUUACGAUAACGCGUUUACAAAAUAUCCUGCAGAGGUUUGGCCCAUAUGACGAUGGGCCACGAAUGGUCUCGCACGGUGGUCCUUAUGACUAAUGGUCCCGGUGCCUGUGGCUUGUUUCAUUCGUGUUCUACCGUUCGGUCUCCUCCACGGAAGGGGAACCAUGAAGAAUCGAAAGAAAAAUAAAAUCUCGAGCCACUGACCGAUACACGUUCGAAGCUCCUGCAUCUCUGACGUAAUCUCUCGCACCGACCAAACCUUAGGAUCUGAACCCUGGGUCGUUCUAAUAAGUUAGCUUAGAGAUGUGGAUCAGGAAACGAGGAUGCUGAGGGACUCGCUGUUUGUGUAUUAACUUAUCGUACCUAGAGCCAGGGGCUACGACCGUUAUCACGUCAUGUGCGUUGGGACGACGGUCUAGUCCCGGUUACCAGGAAUGAUGAAUGUAUGGAUGUUAUCGCGUUUCCGCUCUUUCGCUCUCUUCUUUUGGCUGUCGCGAUAAGGGAAAACUUUGCAAUAUGGAACUGUCUUCUUGCCAGGUAGAGGAAGGAGAAAUUUCGUUCUCUUACAAACUCUUGUAAAACAAUUUAUCGACACUUUUUGGUACUCGAUAGUCUCUUGUAAGAAGAGAAUCGUGAAUGAGCAGGUGGACAGAAUAGUGGCAUAUUGCAGUGUCUCGUGCCGCCUUAUAUUUCCGAACUUUAUUAUUAUUAUUGUUAUUGUUAUUAUCACUUAUACGUAAAUAUAUCAGUGUAACAAAUUA